UCCUGCCCAGUGAGUAAUUUCAACGGCCGCGGUACCCUGACCGUGCUAAGGUAGCAUAAUAACUUGCCUUCUAAUUAGAGGCUAGCAUGAAUGGACAAACGAAAGCCUAACUGUUUCUUAAGGCCCCCUAAAACUUUAUCUUUAGGUGAAAAAGCCUAAAUACCCCUAAAAGACAAGAAGACCCUGCAGAGCUUAAUAAAGCUAUAUUCAAUUAAUAAAACCAAUAUUUUGUUGGGGCGACAAAGGAAUAAACAAAACUUCCUUAAAACCUAAGGGGGACACCCCGCGUAAAAGAUCCUCCCCCGAUCAAAGGCCAAAGCUACCUCAGGGAUAACAGGCUUAUCUUUCUCGAGAGCUCCUAUCGACAGAAAGCCUUGGCACCUCGAUGUUGGCUUAGAAUUCCCGAAGAUGCAGCAAUCUUCAUUGGUAGGUUUGUUCAACCUUUAAAAUUCUACGUGAUCU
rnacentral:rRNA from 1 species